rnacentral:rRNA from 1 species
CCUACGGGUUGCAGCAGUGGGGAAUAUUGCACAAUGGGCGCAAGCCUGAUGCAGCCAUGCCGCGUGUAUGAAGAAGGCCUUCGGGUUGUAAAGUACUUUCAGCGGGGAGGAAGGUGUUGUGGUUAAUAACCACAACAAUUGACGUUACCCGCAGAAGAAGCACCGGCUAACUCCGUGCCAGCAGCCGCGGUAAUACGGAGGGUGCAAGCGUUAAUCGGAAUUACUGGGCGUAAAGCGCACGCAGGCGGUUUGUUAAGUCAGAUGUGAAAUCCCCGGGCUCAACCUGGGAACUGCAUCUGAUACUGGCAAGCUUGAGUCUCGUAGAGGGGGGUAGAAUUCCAGGUGUAGCGGUGAAAUGCGUAGAGAUCUGGAGGAAUACCGGUGGCGAAGGCGGCCCCCUGGACGAAGACUGACGCUCAGGUGCGAAAGCGUGGGGAGCAAACAGGAUUAGAUACCCGCGUAGUC